UACGUAGGUCCCGAGCGUUGUCCGGAUUUAUUGGGCGUAAAGCGAGCGCAGGUGGUUUAUUAAGUCUGGUGUAAAAGGCAGUGGCUCAACCAUUGUAUGCAUUGGAAACUGGUAGACUUGAGUGCAGGAGAGGAGAGUGGAAUUCCAUGUGUAGCGGUGAAAUGCAUAGAUAUAUGGAGGAACACCGGUGGCGAAAGCGGCUCUCUGGUCUGUAACUGACGCUGAGGUUCGAAAGCGUGGGUAGCAAACAGG
rnacentral:rRNA from 1 species